GUAGUCCACGCCGUAAACGAUGAGUGCUAAGUGUUAGAGGGGUCACACCCUUUAGUGCUGCAGCUAACGCGAUAAGCACUCCGCCUGGGGAGUACGGCCGCAAGGCUGAAACUCAAAGGAAUUGACGGGGGCCCGCACAAGCGGUGGAGCAUGUGGUUUAAUUCGAAGCAACGCGAAGAACCUUACCAGGUCUUGACAUCCCCUGACAACCCAAGAGAUUGGGCGUUCCCCCCUUCGGGGGGACAGGGUGACAGGUGGUGCAUGGUUGUCGUCAGCUCGUGUCGUGAGAUGUUGGGUUAAGUCCCGCAACGAGCGCAACCCUCGCCUCUAGUUGCCAGCAUUCGGUUGGG
rnacentral:rRNA from 1 species